CUAACACAUGCAAGUCGAGCGGAAACGAGUUAUCUGAACCUUCGGGGAACGAUAACGGCGUCGAGCGGCGGACGGGUGAGUAAUGCCUAGGAAAUUGCCUUGAUGUGGGGGAUAACCAUUGGAAACGAUGGCUAAUACCGCAUAAUGCCUACGGGCCAAAGAGGGGGACCUUCGGGCCUCUCGCGUCAAGAUAUGCCUAGGUGGGAUUAGCUAGUUGGUGAGGUAAUGGCUCACCAAGGCGACGAUCCCUAGCUGGUCUGAGGGGAUGAUCAGCCACACUGGAACUGAGACACGGUCCAGACUCCUACGGGAGGCAGCAGUGGGGAAUAUUGCACAAUGGGCGCAAGCCUGAUGCAGCCAUGCCGCGUGUAUGAAGAAGGCCUUCGGGUUGUAAAGUACUUUCAGCAGUGAGGAAGGGGGUGUCGUUAAUAGCGGCAUCUCCUGACGUUAGCUGCAGAAGAAGCACCGGCUAACUCCGUGCCAGCAGCCGCGGUAAUACGGAGGGUGCGAGCGUUAAUCGGAAUUACUGGGCGUAAAGCGCAUGCAGGUGGUUCAUUAAGUCAGAUGUGAAAGCCCGGGGCUCAACCUCGGAACUGCAUUUGAAACUGGUGAACUAGAGUACUGUAGAGGGGGGUAGAAUUUCAGGUGUAGCGGUGAAAUGCGUAGAGAUCUGAAGGAAUACCAGCGGCGAAGGCGGCCCCCUGGACAGAUACUGACACUCAGAUGCGAAAGCGUGGGGAGCAAACAGGAUUAGAUACCCUGGUAGUCCACGCCGUAAACGAUGUCUACUUGGAGGUUGUGGCCUUGAGCCGUGGCUUUCGGAGCUAACGCGUUAAGUAGACCGCCUGGGGAGUACGGUCGCAAGAUUAAAACUCAAAUGAAUUGACGGGGGCCCGCACAAGCGGUGGAGCAUGUGGUUUAAUUCGAUGCAACGCGAAGAACCUUACCUACUCUUGACAUCCAGAGAACUUAGCAGAGAUGCUUUGGUGCCUUCGGGAACUCUGAGACAGGUGCUGCAUGGCUGUCGUCAGCUCGUGUGUGAAAUGUUGGGUAAGUCCCGCACGAGCGCAACCCUAUCCUGUUUGCCAGCGAGUAUGUCGGGACUCCAGGGAGACUGCCGUGAUAAACGGAGAGGUGGGACGACGUCAGUCAUCAUGUCUUACGAGUAGGCUUCCCACGUGCCUACAUGGCGCAUACAGAAGGGCUGCCAACUCUCGC
rnacentral:rRNA from 1 species